ensembl:lncRNA
CCGCUGUGGGGGUCUCUCCUGCCUGGCGUGGGCUGGGGCCUGGCGUGUGACUGACAGCACCUCGUUUGUUUCAGUGGGGAAUGGGGACAAGGUCUGGGACUCGUGCCCGGAGGGCAGAAGAAUGCUCACAAAAGGGUUGAGCUAGCCUUGGAGCUGUUCACAAAGCAAGCAGUCUGAGGGGCCCUGGGAGUCUGGGACCUUGGGGUCCCCCGGUGACUUCAGGGUCUCCAGGAUGGAUUUCUGGUGAUGGGAGGGAAGGGAGUGUUUCCUAAAUGCCAUCCUGGCCCCAGGCUUGGAUUUUGGGGCUCACUCUCUUGUCUCCCCCGUGGUGUCCCAGUCCCUCACUGUGGCCCCCCACCUCAUCCAGAGCAAAGGUCACAGCCCCACAGCAAACACCUCAGGGCCCACAGACCCCACGUCUCCCCCACCUACACCCACUGGCCUGAGGGGCCCUUGCUGAGUUGGCUCCCGACUGUCCCAGCCCCUGACCCUCCCACCCAGCGUCCAGCCUGGCCUCUCAGCAGACAGUACCCACACAUGGAUCCCCGCACAGGGACCCCCUGGGUGCUGCUACCAAGCCCCAAAGCUGGGAAGGGGCCGGGCCAGCACCUCCAUUCCAGUCUGACCAUUCUGCCACCCAGUGUGGGCAGGCAGCAGCCCAGCCCAUGACUAGACGGGCUCUGGAGGGACUUGGUUCAGUCAGACCCAAGUCCCAGCCCAGUGAGAGCUGGGGAAACUGCCCACAAGAUCUGGAUUUUGUCCCCCAACCCUCUGCUGCCACGGGACAUGGUCCCUACAGGCCCACCCGAGCCAUGUACAGCUGCCAAGCCCGAAGACCCCAUUUGCUGGACACCCCUGGAGCCCUGGAGCCCUGGAGCGCACCCCACCAUGCACACAUGGACUCUCCUCACAGUGACCCCUGCAGGGACUCACCUGUGUGGAAGAAGCCAGCAGCGGCCAGUAGCUCAAGCUGAACCCCGGCAGUCAGGGGCCAGUUGCAGAAGGAGGCCAGCAGCAGCUCCUCAGAGCCCAUGCCAGGGGAGAGGGCCUUGCAAGUGAGGUGGCUCCUGUCUCCUCCUCUGCAGCCUCCUCUGUCAGGGGGUGCAGCUGGCCCAGGGUCUGCCCGUCCACACAGUCCUGGUGCAGGACACGGCAGCACAGACAGGGGUGCCCACGCGGCUCCUGCACAGGCUCAUGGCUGGCUGCCCCGUGGCCCGGCUCUGGGCCACACAGCACAAGCACUUGGUCCUGCCCUCAGGCCCCAUGAGUGAACCCCAGGCCAGGCCAGGCCUGCUGCAGCAAUUACAGCCAGCCCUGGAAUGUGCCAAGUGUGCCCGCUGGCCUGCCUUGUGGGACCUGACCCUGGGCCCUCCCCCGGGAAACAACAGUGGCCUCUGCCCCAAACUGCUGUCCUGCCACAGAGGCCUGGCGGAGGGAGUGCCCAGGGGCCCAGCCUUUUCUGGAAGGGACCAGCAUGACAGCUGGAUCAUGUGCACUCGGCAGCAGGUGUCACGGGGCCCCCUGUGGGAGCCAUAGCAAGAGCAGCAGUGGGCGCGCAGAUCCCCCUCCUUCCCACAGGGCAGCUGGCAAAAGGGGGCAAAAGGGAAGGACAUGGAACAUGGGGACACCCCAGGACAGGCCCCGGGGCUGGCACAGGCCCCAGGACAGGACAGGAAGCAGCGGCACUGUUGCUGGUGAGCUCUGGGGCUGGACAACUACAUCUGGAAGCAGAGCACAGGCCCUCAGUAAGGCUGGAGAACUUCGACAUGAGCCCACAGGAGGCAGGGAACAUCUUCCAGGGCUGACUUUGGCCACAGGGUGCCUGGUUCUGGGUGGAGAAUACAGGUGGAGAGAUGGGGUGCCUGUGUGCCCCCGAACCCUGGAGCACAUGCAUCCCUGUGUCCAGCCCAGAGCCCCGAGCCCAGCGGGACGGGCAUAGGGGUCUCGGAGCUCCUCUCAUCUUCUGGCCAUGAAGAUCUGAGAGGAUGGGGCCUGGGCCUUUCACAUGAUUCCAGGGAAAGCGCCAGACCUCGGCUGCCCCUCCUUCAGCCUCCCCGAGGGGUGGAGGACAGCUGCGACCCCUCUGCCUGGGUUGGGCUGUGGAGCGAAGAUGGAUGCUGACUCAGCGCGAGGUUUCCAUUGGAACUGGAGCCCUAGGGGUCCACCGCAACACAGGAGAUGCGGGAGGAGCUGCAACCCUAACCAGCGGGGCCUGCACACAGCACUGUCCUGAUGUCCCAGAGUGUGCAGACCAGCCCCCUUCCCUGCUGGGCCUUGUGGGUGGGUGCAGAGGGUGGCACCUAGCUGAGGGAGUGGGGCAGUCUCUGGUCCCUGGGCCCUUUCUCUCUGGCUCUGUUGCUUUCUGUUUCCUGACUGCCCCGAGAUGAGCAGCUUUCCUCCACGCAUACCUCCACACAAAGGCGCCAGCUUGUCAUCCACUGAAACCCCUGAAACUGAGCCAAAUGAACCUCUCCUCCUCCAGAAGGAAACUUCCUGGGGCCCCGCAGUGGGAGCUGAGCCUUGAGCUGACCCACAGUGGAGCCAUGAGGGCCGGUCCUCUCGGGGCUCCCACACCCCCACACCCAGAGGUGCCCCUCCAAGACAGCAAGGGCCCCAUACAGAGGAGGGAGAGGCCAGGCAGAUGCUGCAGCCUCCGCCAGCUGUGGCCGAGCUUGAAAUUCCUGAAACUGGAAUGUCCUCCUGGUGCUCUUACGGUUAAACAGCAGGGAGCCCCAAAUACCUGUUACACGUGCAGUCCAG